GACGAACGCUGGCGGCGUGCUUAACACAUGCAAGUCGAACGGAAAGGCCCUGCUUUUGUGGGGUGCUCGAGGGGCGAACGGGCGAGUAACACGUGAGUAACCUGCCCUUGACUUUGGGAUAACUUCAGGAAACUGGGGCUAAUACCGGAUAGGAGCGCCUGCUACAUGGGGGGGGUUGGAAAGGUUGGGCGGUUUGGGAUGGACCCGCGGCUUAUCAGCUUGUUGGGGGGGUAGGGGCUUACCAAGGCUUUGACGGGUAGCCGGCCUGGGGGGGGGACCGGCCCAAUGGGGACUGGAGACCGGCCAGGACCCCUCCGGGGGGAACAGGGGGGGAUAUUUCACAAAGGGCGCGAAGCCUAUGCAAGAACCCCCCGGGGGGGGAGGACGGCCUUGGGGUUUUAAACCGCUUUAGCAUGUGACGAAGCGUGAGUGACGGUAAUGGGAGAAGAAGCACCGGCUAACUACGUG
rnacentral:rRNA from 1 species